rnacentral:rRNA from 1 species
CCUACGGGAGGCAGCAGUGGGGAAUUUUGGACAAUGGGGGCAACCCUGAUCCAGCCAUUCCGCGUGAGUGAAGAAGGCCUUCGGGUUGUAAAGCUCUUUUGUCGGGGACGAAACGGUUACGAUUAAUACUCGUGACAACUGACGGUACCCGAAGAAUAAGCACCGGCUAACUACGUGCCAGCAGCCGCGGUAAUACGUAGGGUGCGAGCGUUAAUCGGAAUUACUGGGCGUAAAGCGUGCGCAGGCGGUUUUGUAAGCCAGAUGUGAAAUCCCCGGGCUUAACCUGGGAAUGGCAUUUGGGACUGCAAGGCUAGAGUAUGGCAGAGGAGACUAGAAUUUCUGGUGUAGCAGUGAAAUGCGUAGAUAUCAGAAGGAAUACCGAUGGCGAAGGCAGGUCUCUGGGUCAAUACUGACGCUCAUGCACGAAAGCGUGGGGAGCAAACAGGAUUAGAUACCCUGGUAGUCCACGCCCUAAACGAUGUCAACUGGUUNUUGGGAGAUUUAUUCUCUUAGUAACGAAGCUAACGCGUGAAGUUGACCCGCCGCGGGAGGUACGGUCGCGAAGAAGUUAAAACUUAACAAAGAAAGUUAGUACGGCGUGAGACGUGCCGACGGACGACGACGAGGGAGGAGG